UUAUUUUAAUCCAAUUUGUCAUCAUUGAGAUAAUUGUGUGUGGCUUCAUCUCUUGUAGAGACAUAUAAGGAUUCAGAGAGUUGACGCAUUACCUGAGCUGCAGCAGUGCAACAAGUGUUACAGCAAUUACCAGCAGUUUUCUGAUUGACCAGCAUGUUUAAGCCAGCCAAACUAGUCAAAUGAAUAAGUCAUCUUCAAAUCCACUUCAACAUGCAGUUGUCUGUGGAGUGUGACAUUCCAAUCAUACGGAGAUGGUGGACUCCAAAUGGUUUUCUCUGAAAGUGCAGAAACCCUACAAGAGGCCCUUCCAAUUGGAUAACAGGCUACGCUUGUGAGGUAUGUCUCAAAUCUAUCUAUCUA